rnacentral:rRNA from 1 species
GACGAACGCUGGCGGCGUGCCUAAUACAUGCAAGUCGAGCGAAGUUUUUCUGGUGCUUGCACUAGAAAAACUUAGCGGCGAACGGGUGAGUAACACGUAAAGAACCUGCCUCAUAGACUGGGACAACUAUUGGAAACGAUAGCUAAUACCGGAUAACAGUAUUUCUCGCAUGAGAGAUAUUUAAAAGUUGGUUAUGCUAACACUAUGAGAUGGCUUUGCGGUGCAUUAGCUAGUUGGUGGGGUAAAGGCCCACCAAGGCGACGAUGCAUAGCCGACCUGAGAGGGUGAUCGGCCACACUGGGACUGAGACACGGCCCAGACUCCUACGGGAGGCAGCAGUAGGGAAUCUUCCGCAAUGGGCGAAAGCCUGACGGAGCAACGCCGCGUGAGUGAAGAAGGAUUUCGGUUCGUAAAGCUCUGUUGUUAGGGAAGAAUGGAUAUGUAGUAACUAUCCAUGUAAGAGACGGUACCUAACCAGAAAGCCACGGCUAACUACGUG